rnacentral:lncRNA from 1 species
UCUCUCCCCAGGGGGGCGGUGAUGGGGUCUUUCCCUGGCUGGGUUGCAGGGGCUGUCGGUUUCUCCCGGGAGCCGCACACCUUUCCCGGCACUGAGGGUCCUUCUGAACCUGGCGUGGGUGGUGGGCAUGGGGGCCACCUCCCCUCUCCCCACUCCCCUCUGUGAGUUUCCCUUCAUUAACUUUCACGUGUCCUUUUUCGGACGCAGGCGCGCAUGCGUAGUUUUCCAAGUCCACGCCUUGUCCGUUGUUUUCUUGACGGAGUCUUUGGAUGAGCAGGCGGUUUCACAAAAGUGCAAGGUAACUGCUUUUAUGAUCAUCGCUUUUGGCAUCUCGUCCAGGGGGCCUCUUCCCGAGGUCGCUGAGGUCGGCUCACCGUCUCUGGGCUCCGGACACCCUUCGGUACCUGCUGUGGGCAUGUUUCUCCUUCGGGAAGAGCCAGGUGUCAGGUUCCCCACACGAGGCCUCGGUGUGCGUCCCGAUGCCCCAGCUCGCCCAGCGCCUGGCUGCCAGGCACGGCGCCCGGCCAGGGGCAGCCGCACACCAGCCUGGCACUGGCGAAACAGCGGACUUCCUGCGGUCCACCACCCCCAGGGAGACCCCCCGCCUCCAGGCUGGCCCUCCCUACGCCCUGGGGUUUCCUGCGGCCUCUUACGUCCUCUCCGUGAUUUCUCAGUUGUGGUACGGGUGCCCCCUAAUGUCCCAGGCAGGACGCUGACUGACGCAGUCGCAGAGGUGCUCUUCCAGAAGGUCUGUGACCAACUGCAACAUGAUGUAUAGCUCAUGUCUAUCUGCAUCUGUGGCUGUGUCUGUAUCUAAUCUAGCUGUGGAGACCUACCUACUUCCUAAAAACAUGGUAACCAUCGGGGUGCCUGGGCGGCUCAGGCAGUUAAGCCUGGGACUCCAGCGCAGGUCAUGAGCUUGUGGUCCGUGAGUCCGAGCCCUGUGUUGGGCUCUGUGCGGACAGCUCAGAGCCUGGAGCCUGCUUUGGAUUAUCUGUCUCUCUCUCUCAAAAAUAAAUGUAAAAAAAAAUUAAAAAUAUUAAAAUUU